GGAGAGAAUGAGCUUGGAGCCGCAGGGCUUAAUCCCGCGCGGCUCAGAGAUGGGUUUCUGGACUCGCGAAGCAGCUGCAACAAGGCAUCACUCACUGUAUAAGUAUUUCCAUUUCUGAGAGCAAAAGGAAGAACUUAAGCGGGCGGCACUUGGAGUGUAAAUUGCUUUGUAGUAUUUAAAGGCAGAAUGGAUCCUGGGCAGCCGAGCUGCAACAAACCGGCAGGACUUCCUGUGAAAUCAUGACCACCAUGUGCUCUUUCAGCCUCUAUCAGUUCCUACCUCUAAGCACCUGAGAGCCAAAGCAAACCACAGGAAACCACAGGUACUAACUCUUUUAGACCUGAUGAAGUGUCUCCCAAAUACAGUCUGGCAUGACUCAAACUAAACGUCAGCUUUUCCCGGCUCUCAAGCCUGCUGGUCCCUGAACUAAAACUCACAUUAUCAACUCUACUGGUUCUUAGGCCUUUGGAGUCAGACUGGAACUACAGCAUUGACUCUUCCGGAACUCCAGCUUACUGACUACAGAUCUUGGAACUUUUCAGCUUCCACAACCAUAAUGAAAGCCAAGCAUAUUCCAUCAUUUCCUAAAACCAAGAUAGAGCACAUAUGGGAACUUGUGAAAUAAGGAUGCCCUGCGGUUGUUUUCAGGACUGAAGACAACAGCUCCACGAUGUAUCUUUGCAUAAGAAUACACUUGUAUAAUAAGUUUUUUUUUUUAGAGAAAUUGCAUGUAUCUGCCUUAUAAACUUUUUCAUUCAUUCAUUUUCUUUCUUCCUAAUCUGUUCCAUAAAGCAAAUUUCUAACUUAUUGUUAAUCAAAAUAAUUAUUGAAAUAAUUAGUACUUUCAUAUGAUAAAGAUUAUUUUAAUCUGCAGCUACAAAAUAUGUAACUCAUUAAUAUUUAAACAAUCACAAUUUUCUAUUAACAUUAUAGCAUUUUAUCUACUACUAGAUCAGGAAUUAGCUAUUUUUUGUAAAAUUUCUUUGUAAGGCAAAGCAAUAGUAUUGUAUAUACUUUCCUAAAGAUUGUCAAGUUCAGUUUUGCUUAAAUUUAACAGUACAUGUGACACUUUCUGUUUGAAGAAUAAGUUGGUUUUAAGUUUAUACCAAACAAAAGCAUCUCUUUUGUUUUGCAAAAUCUGAAACUUUGAUCUUUCUAGUUGUGACUUCUUGUAAAUAUGUUUUAUAUAAAUAUUCUAUGAAUUGGUUAUUAACAAGGUAAAGAAAGAUUGAUAUGUAAGCUGAUUCUUAAACAUUAAUUUUCUGGAGAUAAACUUUUUUAAAAUUAUGCUUUAAAAAUAUUUUAACACAUGUUAUCAAAAAGGAACUGAAAUAUCUUAGGCAUAAAAGACAUCUCUAGAGGUCAUUAUUCAGUUUCCAGAAAGUACUGAAACUAUCUCUGACAGAUUGAUACGUUUUCUGCAUUUAUAGCUCUCUGGAGAGAGGUUCUGUAUAUUUAACAAUUCUCACUGUGAGGGAUAUUUUAAGUAUUUCAAAUUUAAAGUGCUCAUGUUUCAGAUUCAGAUUAUUAUUAUCAUCAUCAUUAUUUUGGUUCUGGCUUCAGUAAAAAUGUGAAAAACACUUUUCCAUCUUCUGAUAAUAUUUCAUAUUUAUAAAAUUAUUAUUAAGUUAUAACUCAGCUUUUUCAUUUAUGCUUUAAAUCCUUUUAUUAUCUCAUCACAACCAUCUUUGACUGUUUAUCAGAAAUGGUUCUCUUUUGUACAUUGACCAUUAUUUUAUAGAUCACAUUUAAGUUAAUAUAAAUCAUGCCUAUAAA
rnacentral:lncRNA from 1 species